CCCAAAUCCCCACAUUCACCAUCGAGACGUUUGUAUUCUCCCCUUUCUCCAGACCGUUUCAGAACGCAAUGGGCAUGAAUUCAUGGGCAGCUGGCAUUCAAAUUCCCUACAAUUUCCAUAAGCCCUUUCACAGUAAACGGCCGUGUGAAGUGAACUAAGAAGUCCAAUCAUCAUUGUUGCUCGAGUGGUGGCAAAGGUUGUGCGUAUAGCCGUAUACGAAGACAGGGUUAGCGGACGUGGACAGCGCAAGACGAAUAGUGGAACCGUGAAAGUUGGGUUUGGUUGCAAUGGUGGUUACAGCAAUAGUGGCAAAUUUCUUCAUCUUCCAUCUGAUUCAGGUUGCAUUUGAGGGUGCAAUUUCAGGGGACAUUGAAAAGCAAACAAGGAGAUUAUAGAAAGUCAUGGUUUGAUGGGUUUCUUGCUCCACUGCUGUUGUGCGCCUUUGAUUUCUUCGCUGCUGCUAUAAGCUGCCACUGCCUCCACCUUGGUUUUCUUACUCCGUCGCGGCUGGGUUCAUAACGGUGUCACUUCAAACUGCUAAUUGAACUUACUCUUGGUGCAUGUUACUCUUUGAUAUGUAUUAUAGAUUGGUUGGUGGUUACAGUUGAGGUCCAUUGAGCCUUCUGCUUGCACUUUUCAUUCCCACGGGAUGUUAUUACUUCUAAUAGCAUUCUUAGUGCCAGAUAGCAUACCCAAUUUCCCUCACUGAAAAGGUAUUAUUAAACGGAGAGAACAUUAGAGAAAGACAUAGGGAAAGAUUGUCCAGUAGUUUAUGGGCAAGACUUACAAUGCAGAAGAGAUGACACAAAUCGAAAUCAAAAGUAUAUAUGGCCGUACUUUUAGAUAUGACAAUUUUAAAUGUGGAUGCAGAGGUGUAAGGAUUUGAGAGUGAUGUGUGCUUAUUUUUUGAACAGGGCGAUCCCAAUGUUAAAAGGAAUCAAAUUUGAUAAUUUCAUUCAGCUCUCAUUGAUUUGCAAUGACCCAUUGCCAGUGAGUUAAAGGUUCAUAUAUCACCAAUUUACUAUUUAGUUGAUAAGUUAUGAAUAAUAAUAUUGCUUAUUUUGAUUUUUGCCAAUAACAGUAAAAAUAAUUGUUUAUUGUCAGUUUUAUUUUUUGCUCUUAAUCUUGGUUAAAGUGUCUUUAAGAGUCAGUUACAAAGUGUAAUGUUAUUGCGCUUUAUUGGGAGUCAUUGAGUUAGUUUUCGGGUUUCCAAGAGUUACAUUUCUUUGAUACUUGCCAAUUACUAUUAAAAUUAAUUGCUUAUUGUCAAUUUUGUUUUCAGCUUUUAAUCUUGGUUAAAGUGUCUUUAAGAGUUAGUUACAAUGUCUAAUGUUAUUGCACUUUAUUAGGAGUCAUUGAGUAAGCUUUUGGGUUUCCAAGAGUUACAUUUCAGCUCAAUAAUAUAGCACCUUCUUCAAGAGGUAAUGAUUAUGUGAUGAGUAUCCUUUAAAUUUGACAUUCUUUCUGUCUCUUUUUUGCCUUCUUUGUUCUGCAUUCAGUACCGCCAUUUCUUCGCCGCAUUUCAUUCUUAGGUUGACACCUUCAUAAGUUUCCAUUUCAUACAACUUCUCCCAGAUGGAUUCACUUUGUGUCUUUGGUUGCCAUUGCUGCCUACUAUACAUGGUAUAUUCCUCUUCUAAUGUUUUUCAACUUUAUAAUUAACUUUUAUCAGUAUACCAUAAUCUAAUAUAACUUUUAGCUGAUAAGUACGACUUCUUAUAUAGCUUCUCCUUUAAUCGCUAUUCAUUUGUCGAGAAUUGCAAUGCAAAUCCUUCCUUUUUACUAUGCAAAAUUGCAGUAAUUUCUUCAAAUGUAUCUAAAUCACAUAUUUAAUAUUUAUAAAAAUAUAAAAUUAAGGGGUGUUUUCAAAUUGGCACUGCACCGUCUCAUUUUACAGAGAAGGGUGACAGGGCUGAUGGAGUACAAACCAGGUAUCAUAAUCAUUGUCCAUCCCUUAAUGCAGCAUAUUCCACAAUGGGUUCUGAAGUUUCAAGGUUUGCAAAAGAAAGUAUUGAUUUUGCUCUUGAUAAUAGUUGUAGAGUGUCUUAGAUGCUACUUGAUUGAUGGUUAUGGAAGCUUUAAUGCCAAACUUAUCAAACCUACAAAAGAAGAAUGAUCAAUCCUUUAUUUAGUUAUGUUUUUGUUUCGUAUUUAUGAUCCAUUUAAUCUUUAUACGCCGACAAUGUAUAAUUUACUUUGAAAUUAUUUGAAUUAGUUUUUCCUAAGUUGACCCCCAAAGGUCAUAUCAGAUUGAUAAAGACUAAGGUCCGUCAACAAUUCAUAUGGAACAUGGUGGAGAAGUUCUGAGAAGCAAUUUGGGUCCCAUAAAUAAUAUGAAAAGAACUUGAAAAAAAUGAGUGGUUGUUAAUAACUUUAGAAAGUUACUAUCAUACAAUUUCUUCUUAUUACUAUUAUAUCCCUCCCUCUUUUAUCUCAUGGUUACUGUUACACCCCUCACCCCUCAUAUUUUGCUUUGACAACAGUCGGACCCCAUUCACCAUAUUCGGAAACUCACUUGAGAUCAAUGUCCAAAGCACCAAGACUUUCCUCACGAAAAUCUCCACAUCCAGUUGCAGCAAAAUAUAAAAAUUUAAGCUAACAAUGACUUCAAAAAUUAUUAAAUUGUUCUAUAGGAUAAAAAUUAAAAAAUGUAGCAUUUAGUAAAAUUAGGGUAAAAACCACAAAUAAAUAAAAUGAUUGCGCUUUUACAAAAUAUAAACAAACACAUUCAUUAUGAAAAAAACAAAUUUUUCUUUUCUUAUAUAUAUAAUUAAUUUUUUUAAUCCUUAAAUUAUCUUUUAACAACACAUAUUUAAAAAAAAUACGCAAUAAACUAAAAUGAAAAUCCCCCGUGCAUCGCACGGGUAAAAGUACUAGUAUAAUAUAAUAUCAUAUCAUAUCGUAUAAUAUAAUAAUUAUUAAAUAGUAUAAAUCCUCUUCAGACUUCGAUCAACCACUUCUAACAAGUUAGAGAAGGAAUGAAAGCCAUGGAGAACUUCACUUUCCCUGAAGAGUUGAUGGUAGAAAUAUUGUUGAGGUUGCCGGUAAAGUUUGUAGUGCGUUACAAAUGCGUGUACAAGUCUUAGCUCUCCAUAAUUUCUAGUCCCCAAUUCGCUAAAUCUCAUUUUGACCUAGUCGCUAGACCCACCCAUCGUGUUCUCACAUCAUUUGACAAUGGUUCCCAAAUCACGUCCCUCACUUUUGAGGGAUUAUUAACUGAUGUCUCUGACAAAUUCCUACCUGCACCUUGUAAACUUGAUGUUCCUCUCCCUUCUUACAGUCAUCUUGCUCUUCGGCCUGUGGUUUGUUGUAGAGGGUUUGUGUUGUUACCAAUGAGAAAGGUUGUGAUGUCGCUGUCUGGUUUUUGGUAUGAUAAAUCAACGAAUGACUACUUGCUAGUUCUUAUACGACAAUAUUAUUGUAAGCAGUGCGUACGCAUCCCUAAGAUUAUGAAUUCACAUACUUCGCAUCCUCGAAUUCGGGUUUUCUGAUUGAAAACCAAUGCACCAUCCUUUAUUUCUGGUUUUGAAUUUGAUUAUAUGAUUCUCCUAAUAUGAAGGGCUUGUUCUUGAAUCAGUAUAUUCAGUGGUUAGUUGAAUCUAACGUCACACACCUUCCGCUAAUUGUUGCCUUUGAUUUGAUAAAUAGAAGUUUAUCAGAGAUUCCUCUAUCAGAUGAUUAUGUCGAAUUGUGGCAUAAUAAAGAUUGUUGUUAUCUCACGGUACUAGGAGGAUGUCUCGGUCUCCAUUAUUGGGGUUUCCCGUACGAGGGUGUAAAUGGUGUUCGUGGUCAUAUAUGGGUCAUGAAAAAAUAUAAAUUGUCGUCUUCUUGGAUUAAAUGUUUUGUUCUGCAGGAUAACAUCAGUUGCAGGAAGAACCACUCGUGGACCAUAUGCUUAACAAGAGAUGGCGCUCUUCUUGCAUCAAGGGGCGAUGGAAGAAUAGUGAAAUUGAAUGACAAUGGAAAAGUGUUAAAGCAACACAGAGAUGAUGGGUUGAAGAAUAGUUACUUUCCACAUCAUUAUAUGUAUAGAGAGAGUUUGCUACCACUCCCUUAAUUGGUGGAAGGAAAUAUCCCAAGAAGCAAAUGUAAGAGAAAAGUUAUUAUGCAACCUUCCUUACAUUGUGCAGUGGGAGUGGUUCGCCUAACCUUCGAUCCUAGUUCCCUGCUAGUUUUCCUGGUUAUGUUUACUGUUGAUGCAGGCUAGUGGAAUCGUCUCUGCUCUCUUGGGCCCUUUGCUGUUGUGCAUUGAUGCUUCACCUUUCAGACUUGAAGCUUUCCUUGCCUUUGUCCUGCCGAGUUAUUGAUGUUGGUUGUGUUUGUAUCUGUGUGUUUGUUGUUAUUGUUUUUCUUCUGUUGUUUUCCUGCUCUUUUGUUUUUUUGGGCUCACUAGCGAGAGCUUUGUUCCCUAGCAUUUGUUUCAUCAAUAAUAUUUAAUAUUUCCUUCA